GGCUGGGGCAGUGUUCGUUCUUCCUUUGGAGAUGUCUCGCUUAUGUUCUUCUAUUCUCGUUUUUGAAUUGCGUUUCGUGCUACCAAUGUGCCACUGUGUGCAUUCUUCAUCAUUGUUGUGUAGUGGAGUGCCAUAUAUUCCAGCCCUUCUGUCAUGCGGUGCAUGGUCCUUGUCGUUUCUUGUCCGAUCGAGUGCAGUCUGGCCUCUUCUCAUGACCAGUAUGGGCCGCUCAUCACUGGGGAGAUGUUUGGUGAUGGUACUGGCAGCAUCACUAUCAUGCGUGAUUUUGGCAUACUUAGGCCUAAUGCGUCCCUGGUCGGUGG
rnacentral:lncRNA from 1 species